CCUACGGGUGGCAGCAGUGGGGAAUAUUGGGCAAUGGGCGCAAGCCUGACCCAGCAAUGCCGCGUGAAGGAAGAAGGCUUUCGGGUUGUUAACUUCUUUGACAGGGGAAGAGCAGAAGACGGUACCCUGAAAACAAGCCACGGCUAACUACGUGCCAGCAGCCGCGGUAAUACGUAGGUGGCCAGCGUUGUCCGGAUUUACUGGGUGUAAAGGGCGUGUAGCCGGGAAGGCAAGUCAGAUGUGAAAUCUGGAGGCUCAACCUCCAAAUUGCAUUUGAAACUGUUAUUCUUGAGUACUGGGGAGGCAGACGGAAUUCCUGGUGUAGCGGUGAAAUGCGUAGAUAUAAGGAGGAACACCAGUGGCGAAGGCGGUCUGCUAGACAGCAACUGACGGUGAGGCGCGAAAGCGUGGGGAGCAAACAGGAUUAGAUACCCUAGUAGUC
rnacentral:rRNA from 1 species